AAGCGUUAUCCGGAAUUAUUGGGCGUAAAGCGUCCGCAGGCGGCCCUUCAAGUCUGCUGUUAAAAAGUGGAGCUUAACUCCAUCAUGGCAGUGGAAACUGUUGGGCUUGAGUGUGGUAGGGGCAGAGGGAAUUCCCGGUGUAGCGGUGAAAUGCGUAGAUAUCGGGAAGAACACCAGUGGCGAAGGCGCUCUGCUGGGCCAUCACUGACGCUCAUGGACGAAAGCCAGGGGAGCGAAAGGGAUUAGAUACCCCUGUAGUCCUGGCCGUAAACGAUGAACACUAGGUGUCGGGGGAAUCGACCCCCUCGGUGUCGUAGCCAACGCGUUAAGUGUUCCGCCUGGGGAGUACGCACGCAAGUGUGAAACUCAAAGGAAUUGACGGGGGCCCGCACAAGCGGUGGAGUAUGUGGUUUAAUUCGAUGCAACGCGAAGAACCUUACCUACUCUUGACAUACUAGAAACUUUUCAGAGAUGAAUUGGUGCCUUCGGGAAUCUAGAUACAGGUGCUGCAUGGCU
rnacentral:rRNA from 1 species